rnacentral:rRNA from 1 species
AGGAUCAUUAUUGAAUACGAAUUGGUUCUGAUGCUGGCCCUUCACCGGGCAUGUGCUCGUUCCGAAUCUAUUUAUCUUCUCUUGUGCACCUUUUGUAGUCUUUGAAAAAAGUGAACCCCUCGCAGCGAUGCGGUUUGGGAGGAUGGGCGCAAGCCCUUCUCCUGCUUGCUUUCUUCAAGGCUAUGUUUUCAUAUACACUAUAAAGUUACAGAAUGUCUUUUAAAGAUUGCUCGCGCAGUCAUUAAACCUAUACAACUUUCAGCAACGGAUCUCUUGGCUCUCCCAUCGAUGAAGAACGCAGCGAAAUGCGAUAAGUAAUGUGAAUUGCAGAAUUCAGUGAAUCAUCGAAUCUUUGAACGCACCUUGCGCCCUUUGGUAUUCCGAAGGGCAUGCCUGUUUGAGUGUCAUUAAAUUCUCAACCUUGCUCGCUUUUACUAGCUUGAGUGAGGCUUGGAUGUGAGGGCUUGCUGGCUUCCUUCAGUGGAUGGUCUGCUCCCUUUAAAUGCAUUAGUUGGGAUCUCUUGUGGACCGUCACUUGGUGUGAUAAUUAUCUAUGCCUCGUUGACUUUGAAGCAAAAUUAUGGGAACCUGCUUAUAACCGUCUCGCAAGGGACAAUUUUCUGACAUUUUGACCUCAAAUCAGGUAGGACUACCCGCUGAACUUAAGCAUAUCAAUAAGCGGAGGAAAAGAAACUAACAAGGAUUCCCCUAGUAACUGCGAGUGAAGCGGGAAAAGCUCAAAUUUAAAAUCUGGCGGUUCUUGUGGCCGUCCGA